AAAAGUCGUAACAAGGUCUCCGUUGGUGAACCAGCGGAGGGAUCAUUACCGAGUUAUUACUCCAAACCCUUUGUGAACCUUACCUUUGUUCUGUUGCCUCGGCGGGGAGAAAGCCUCUCAGGAGGCCCAACCUCGCCGGCAGCACCAAACUCUUGCAUUUAAUAGCGGAUUACACUUCUGAAUAAAACACAAAACAAAUUAAAACUUUCAACAACGGAUCUCUUGGUUCUG
rnacentral:misc_RNA from 1 species